AAAGGGAGACCUAAUUCAGGUAUAAGACGAAAAAAAAGUAGUCCCUACCAAGAAUCAAUCCCAAAAGGUCGGAACGAGGUAUGAGGCUUUCAAACUAGGUUCUGGGUUCAUAAAAGACCUGAAUCAGGAACAAGGGCUAUUAGCUCAGGUGGUUAGAGCGCACCCCUGAUAAGGGUGAGGUCCCUGGUUCGAGUCCAGGAUGGCCCACCUGCACAGGUGGCAAAAACAAGAGAAGCGAGGAAUCAGCACCUUAUCUUACUUAUAUAGUAAGAGAGAAUGCUGGCUCUGAGUACAGAGUCCAGAGGAACCUUGAAAACUGCAUAGAGCUAGGUGAAAAAGCCAAAAAAGAAGACCGCAAG
rnacentral:tRNA from 1 species